rnacentral:lncRNA from 1 species
CCUUGUCACCAAAUCAACCCUAACUGUUUAUCUAAUUAAUCGGUUCUCUGGAUUGCGCAUCAAAUACCGAAUAGUGCAAGGGCUAUCUACAAAAAUUCCCUAGACUCAGAUUCCUACCAGAGAGAACUGCGGGUUGAUUUAACAAAAUCCGAGGGUCUCUUUUAUAAAAUGUAGCCAUUGAAGAGGUAUCGGGAGAUCCUGACCGUCCGAUACGUCCCAACGGACCAGAUUAGAUCAAACCCGUCGCGAAGCGGUACACGCUCACGUCCGUUAGAUCGCGAUCCGACGGCGAACAAGUCAUCGGUGAAAGGGGGUUUUUAACUUCUAAUCUCGGACGUCCGCAAGAUCGAACGGCGCACCACAUGUUUGAACCCGAUCUAAUCUGGUUCAUUGCUUUACGGAUCUACGGCUGAUGUUGGUCUUCUACCCAGGCCACCGGCGAUGACGGCGGGUUGAGUCCCUGCGGCGAAUAUCACCGCCGGUGACAAUCAAUCCCCAGCACCGGUGAUUCAAUCGCACGAGAAAACACACCAAAACACGAUUCAAGGUCCUACGAACUCGAAUUCAGCCGACUCACCUACGUAUGACGGCGACGAGAGCACUGCCUCCGACCAGGAGCACCCCGCGGAGGUGUCGGGUUCACGGUGGUUAAUUGGCGCCUCCUCGCUCCCUAUGCACAGCAAGGUCCCCAUACGAGACCGACUCCACCCGAGGACCUCCCUCAGCUCCCUGAUGCGGUUAGCGUCACGUCUCCGCUCAACCCGACUGCGGUGGCUCUCAGCUCUCUCUUUCUCUUUCUCGGUUCACAGAAAAGGGCAGGGAGAUGGAGGAAUGCGCGGCGGCGCACGGGGUAUGGUGGCUGCUUUCGCGCGAGUUAACAGGGAGAGCCGUAGCACCUGUGGGUUUU